GCUUCCGUGGCGCAAUGGCAGCGCGUUCGGCUGUUAACCGAAAGGUUGGUGGUUCGAGCCCACCCGGGAGCG
rfam:Dictyocaulus viviparus strain HannoverDv2000 D_viviparus-1.0_Cont129.26, whole genome shotgun sequence.